rnacentral:tRNA from 1 species
UCCGUUAUGGUGUAGUGGCUAACAUUAUCGCCUCUCAUGAAAGUUUGGAGUUUGACGCGAUAGCCCAGGGUUCGAUUCCCUGUAACGGAA